GGUGGAAUUGCUAUGUCAUGUGGUAACUCUAAUCUUUUGAGAAACUGCCAAACUAUUUUCCAAAGUGGCUGCACCACUUUACAUUCCUACCAGCAGU
rnacentral:pre_miRNA from 1 species